rnacentral:rRNA from 1 species
UACGGAGGGGGCUAGCGUUGUUCGGAAUUACUGGGUGUAAAGGGUUCGUAGGCGGUGCGGCAAGUCGGGAGUGAAAUCUCUGGGCUUAACCCAGAGGCUGCUUCCGAAACUGCUGUGCUUGAGUGUGGGAGAGGCGCGUGGAAUUGCAGGUGUAGCGGUGAAAUGCGUAGAUAUCUGCAGGAACACCCGUGGCGAAAGCGGCGCGCUGGACCACUACUGACGCUGAGGAACGAAAGCUAGGGGAGCAAACAGG